rnacentral:lncRNA from 1 species
CUCAUUCUCAUAUAAUUGAAGAAUAUCCCUUGUAAUUGUCCUUCGUGACAGUACAUCAAACUUUGGGUAACAAGUAGUUAUAAACUCCAAAAACCCCUCAACCUCAACAAAUUUAAAAAAGCAACUCAUCUUUAAUAAUCAUCUUUAUAAUUGCCUUCCUACAAUCUUCUUUACUAAAACCUACAGAAUAAACUUAGCAUUACCAACACCAUUUUCAUGAGUUAAAGCACAUUGAUUUUCAUCCUCUUUAGGCUUCACUUUUUUAUACACAAGACAUCUUUGUAACAAAUGAGUUCUUAAGCUAGAAGUUCCUUUAAUACUUUCACAUACAUAUUGCUUUUUACAAUAGUUACACUUCGCUUUUUUUCCUCCAGGUAGCUUUGAAAACAAUUGUCAAACGUCUGAUCUUAAGUGUCUGCCUCCUUUUUCAUUCUCAAAAUCAUCCUUCAUAAUCUCCUCUACAACAUUGUUAUUUUCUUCCAUCCUGCACACAAGGCCUACUAUAAUCAAUGUAUAAUCAAACAAAAAAUAAUAAUUUACAAAUUUGUAUUAAAAAAAGGGCAAGAAUUUUGGACUACAAUGAAGAAUUUUUAAAAUUAUAGUUAUUGUGUUUAAUAUCAAAAGUUUUAGCCCAAAAUGUAAAUAAAAUAAAAUAAGUAUUUGUGCCAUAGUAGAAAUUAGUAAAACAUUAGGGACUAAAAUGAUAUUUUAUCUAGUUGACAUUCGGUCAAGGACUAUUAUGAAAAGUUAGUAAACAAAUUAAACCAUAAUAGAAUUCCUAUAUGCAAACAUUUCCUAAAUAUUAGGCUAUACCAAAAUUUUAUUAAAAAAAACGAUUUACACGAUAUUAUCCCUCCAUCAUCUUCAACAUUUCGUGACUCCAUGAGUUCUCACCCAGCAAUGUCAAGAGCACAAUAUCUAAACGAAAAAAUUGAAAAAAUACAGUAAUAUACUCAUAUUCAGGCAAAGCUAAUAAAACUAAAUAUUAUUAAUAACUUAAACAAACAUGAAAUAAGUACAAAUCAAAGAGUUAUUUAAAAAAAAUACCCAUUUAAAAAAAAAAGAAAAGAAAAACAGAGCAAGUUCGUCACAAACGAAAACAAACCCAUUACCUGAUUGGAUAGCUAGCGAUGGAGUAAGGAAAGAAACGCAGCGAUAGGUCGGCAGCAAGGAGAAGGCAGGUGCGAGUUAGGGCUUUGGUCGUGGGCAAGUGAUUGUGUUGCAGUUGAAAGCGAGAGAGAGAGAAGUGGUGCAAAGCACACAUGUUUAAUUUGUGUAUAUAUAUGUGUUCUAGCGAAAUUAUGAAAAUGCCUUAAUUUCGGCUCGGUUCGGAUUUUUUAAUUUUUGAUUCUAAAACCGAACCAAACCAAAUUUUUUUUUAGUUCCGGUUCGAUUUUGCCCACCCUUAACGAUAAUUGCUAAAAUAAUAUAAUGACUUAAGAGAUAAUAAAGGAAAAUUACAUGGGAAAAGUUUAAAAAGUUAACAAUUUGAGUGAAGACCGUACUACACAAGUCCUGAUCCAUUGUGUUAGGCUACACCGACUGGAAGUAAAAAAACCUGAACAAGUUUGUGCUUUUGACCGUUUAUAAUGACCGAGACUGAUACUCGGUGAUAGACACGUGGUUUUAGCACAAGGAUAUAAUUUUUUUUUGUGGGUAGUAAUGAUCAAAACAAACAUUAAUUAUUUACAAGUAUAUAAAUAUGAGUUGGAAUGGAACUAGUGUGAGCAUAGAAAUUUCAAUUAACUCCUUAAGGGUUCUUAACUUCAAUGAAUUAUGGCAUGAGUUGGAAUGCCAAGUGCAGAAAAAGACACACGAAAAAUGCAUAACUCAUACAUUCACAUGUGCUUUAAUUAUUUUUUUCCACUACAAUAGUCGUUAAAAUAAUAUAAUGACUUAAGAGAUAAUGAGUGAAAAUUACAGGGAAAAAAUUUAAAAAGUUACCAAUUUGAGUGAAGACCUUACUCCACAUGUCUUCAUCCAUUGUACCAGGAUGCACCGACUGGAAGUGGGAAAAUAACCAGAACAAGUUUGUGCUUUUGAUAGUUUAUAAUUGUCGAGACUGCUGGCCGGUGAAAGACACGCAGUUGAAGCUCAGUGAUGGAGUUUUUUUGUGGCUAGUAAUAGUCAAAGCAAAUAUUAAUUAUUUACAAGUACGUAAAUAUCCGUUGGAAUAAAAUUGGUGUGAGCAUAGAAGUUUCAAUUAACUCCUAAAGAGUUCUUAACUUCAAUGAAUUAUGGCAUGAGUUUGAAUGACAAAUGUAGAAAAAGACACACGAAAUGUAUAGAACUCAUACAUUCACAUGUGCUCUACUUAUUUUUUUCCCACUAUGACAUUUACUAAAAUAAUGUAAUGACUUAAGAGAUAAUGAAGGAAAAUUACAAGGGAAAGGAUAAAAAGUUACUAAUUUGACUGAAGAACGUACUGCACAUAUCCUCAUCCAUUGUAUUAGUCUGCAUCGACUGGAAGAAAAAAAGGAAGCACAACAAGUUUGUGCGUUUGACAAUUUAUAACGACCAAGAUUGUUGGUCGGUGCUAAACACGUGGUUGCAGCUCAGUGAUAAAGUUUUUUUUUUGUGGAUAGUAAAGGUCAAAGUAAACAUUAAUUAUUUACAAAUACGAAAAUAUCAGUUGCAUAGAAAUUUAAAUUAACUCCUAAAGGGUUCUUAACUUCAAUGAAUUAUGGCAUGAGUUUGAAUGUUUAGUGUAAAAAAAGACACACGAAAAGUUUGUACUAUUGAUCAUUUAUAAGGACCAAGAUUGUUGGCUGGUGCUAAACAUGUGGUUGCAGCUCAGUGAUGAAUUGUUUUUACGGUUAGUAGGACAGAACAAACAUUAAUUAUUUACAAGUACGUAAAAUCAGUUGGAAUGGAACUGGUGUGAGCAUAAAAAUUUCAAUUAAGUCCUUUAGUGUUCUUAAUUUCAAUGAAUUAUGGCAUGAGUUUGAAUGCCAAGUGUAGAAAAAGACACACGAAAGAUAUAGAACUCAUACAUUCACAUGUGCUUUAAUUAUUUUUUCUCACUAUGAUAGUUAGUAAAAUAAUGUAAUGACUUAAGAAAUAAUGAACGAAAAUUGUAGGGGAAAGUUUAAAAAGUUAUCAAUUUGAGUGAAGAACGUACUACACAUAUCCUCCUCUAUUGUCUUAGUCUGCAUCGACUGGAAGUAAGAAAUGAAGCAGAACGUGAUUGUGCAUUUAAGAGUUUAUAAUGGCUGAGACUACUGGGCGGUGCUAAACACGCGUUUGCAAGUCAGUGAUGAAUUUUUUUUUUUUUUAUGGCUAGUAAUCGUCAGAGCAAAAAUUAAUUAUUUAUAAGUACGUAAAUAUCAACUGAUGUGAACAUAGAAAUUCCAAUUAAUUCCUUCAGAGUUCUUAACUUUGAAUAAAUUACUGCAUGAGUUUAAAAGCUAGGUGCGGAAAACGACACACGAUAGAUAUAAAACUAAUACAUUCACAUGUGCUUUAAUUAUUUUUUUCCACUGCGACGGUUGCUAAAAUAAUGUAAUGACUUAAGAGAUAUUGAAGGAAAACUGCAUGGAAAAGUUUAAAAAGUUACCAAUUUGAGUGAAGAACAUACUGCACAUAUCCUCAUCCAUUGUAUUAGUCUGCAUCGACUAGAAGAAAAAAAUGGAGCAUAAUAAUUUUGUGCGUUUGACAAUUUAUAAUGACCAAGACUGC